rnacentral:rRNA from 1 species
GACGACUAGGUUGAUAGGUUCGAGGUGGAAGUGCAGCAAUGCAUGCAGCUGACGAAUACUAAUCGGUCGAGGGCUUAUCCUA